UUACCUACGGGGGGCAGCAGUGGGGAAUAUUGCACAAUGGGGGAAACCCUGAUGCAGCGACGCCGCGUGAGUGAUGAAGUAUUUCGGUAUGUAAAGCUCUAUCAGCAGGGAAGAUAAUGACGGUACCUGACUAAGAAGCUCCGGCUAAAUACGUGCCAGCAGCCGCGGUAAUACGUAUGGAGCAAGCGUUAUCCGGAUUUACUGGGUGUAAAGGGAGCGCAGACGGCAGGGCAAGUCUGAUGUGAAAGUCCGGGGCUCAACUCCGGGAGUGCAUUUGAAACUGUCCAGCUAGAGUGCAGGAGAGG
rnacentral:rRNA from 1 species